rnacentral:rRNA from 1 species
UACAGGGGGUGCAAACGUUGCUCGGAAUUAUUGGGCGUAAAGCGCGCGUAGGCGGCCACUUAAGUCGGAUGUGAAAGCCCCUGGCUCAACUGGGGAAGUGCACCCGAAACUGAAUGGCUUGAAUACAAAAGAGGGUCGCGGAAUUCCCGGUGUAGAGGUGAAAUGCGUAGAUAUCUGGAGGAACACCGGUGGCGAAGGCGGCAUCCUGGACCAACACUGACGCUGAGGAGCGAAAGCCAGGGGAGCAAACGGG